CCUACGGGCGGCUGCAGUGGGGAAUAUUGGACAAUGGGCGAAAGCCUGAUCCAGCCAUGCCGCGUGUGUGAAGAAGGCCUUCGGGUUGUAAAGCACUUUCAGUGGGGAAGAAAGCCUUGGGGCUAAUACCCUCGAGGAAGGACAUCACCCACAGAAGAAGCACCGGCUAACUCCGUGCCAGCAGCCGCGGUAAUACGGAGGGUGCGAGCGUUAAUCGGAAUUACUGGGCGUAAAGCGCGCGUAGGCGGUCUGAUAAGCCGGUUGUGAAAGCCCCGGGCUCAACCUGGGAACGGCAUCCGGAACUGUCAGGCUAGAGUGCAGGAGAGGAAGGUAGAAUUCCCGGUGUAGCGGUGAAAUGCGUUGAGAUCGGGAGGAAUACCAGUGGCGAAGGCGGCCUUCUGGACUGACACUGACGCUGAGGUGCGAAAGCGUGGGUAGCAAACAGGAUUAGAUACCCUGGUAGUC
rnacentral:rRNA from 1 species